GGGAAAAGAAACUAACGAGGAUUUCCCUAGUAGCGGCGAGCGAACCGGAAAGAGCCCAGCUUGAAAAUCGUGCGGCCUCGCCGUGCGAAUUGUAGUCUGGAGAGGCGUCCUCUGCGGCGGACCGGGCCCAAGUCCCCUGGAAAGGGGCGUCAGAGAGGGUGAGAGCCCCGUCGAGCCCGGACCCUGUCGCUCCACGAGGCGCCGUCGACGAGUCGGGCUGUUUGGGAAUGCAGCCCUAAGUGGGUGGUAGAUUCCAUCCAAGGCUAAAUACGGGCAAGAGACCGAUAGCGAACAAGUACCGCGAGGGAAAGAUGAAAAGGACUUUGAAAAGAGAGUUAAAGUGCUUGAAAUUGCUGGGAGGGAAGCGAAUGGAGGCCGCGGGUGCGCCCCGGUCGGAUGCGGAACGGCUCCUGCUGGUCCGCCGCUCGACGCGGGGCGCUGGUCAGCGUGGGCUGGCGCGGCGGGACAAGAGCGGGCUCUAGUUGCCCGCCGAUGCCGUCGUGCCGGCCGAGGAACGAAGCGCGCGCCGACUCCGGCGGGCCCUACGUGCACCUGCGCGCUCGAGACGCUGGCGCUCUGGGCUUCCAUCCGACCCGUCUUGAAACACGGACCAAGGAGUCUAACAU
rnacentral:rRNA from 1 species